AUUAAGUUGCUGAGGCUGGCUUUGAACUUAUAACCCUCCUACCUCAGCCUUCCAAGGCACGGGGAUUACAGGCAUGUGCCACCACACCUGUCUUAAGUAUUAUUUUUUGUUAAUUUUUGAUGGCGAUGUUUUCUAGUAAGCCAGGUCCAUCCAGUUGCAUGGCUGGCCUUUGUUGAGCUUAGCACAUCAGCCGCUUUUUCGGCCUCAGGGCACAGGAAUCUUCCUGUCUGGCUGCUGCCCAAGACAUGCUUCUGUCUCACCACAUGCUUCUGUCUCCAAGUCGCUAAUAAAUUGCCUUCUGUGCAAUUCUGACUUGUCACCUCUCUCUCCUGUCGCUCAUCUUCCUCCUUUGGCACUCAUUCUCAUACAACAGGUUGUCCCGAAACACAUCAUAUAUAAAAAUUAACUCAAAACAGAUUAAGACUUAAAACUGUUACUUUCUUAGAAAAUAAAAACAAAAUAGGAAUAAGUCUUCAGGAUCUAGGAUUUUUAAAUGUGUGUUUGUUUUUCCUUUUCGUAGUACUGGGGAUUAAACCCAGGGGUGCUUUACCCCUGGGCCACACCCCCAGUCCUAUUAGCCCUUUUUAAUUUUUGUUUUGAGACUGGGUCUCUCAAAUUGCAUUGCCCAGGCUGGCCUUGAACCCCGGGCCUCCCACACGCUCGGCAGUGCUCUUCCACAGAUCCUCCUGCCUCAGGCUCCCAGGGAUUACAGGAGAGUGCCACCAUGCCUGGCUUGAAAUGGUUUCUUAGAUAUGAUACCAGAAGCACAAAGAGCAGAAGAAAAAUAGGGAAAUUCGAAUUUACGAAAAUCAAAAAUCUGUGCAUUUCAGGGCACUACCAAGAGAACGAAAAACCCACACAACGGGAGAAAAGCAUGCAUCUGGUAAGGGUCAAUCCAGAAUAACAAAGAUUCCCACAGCUCAGUGAUAGAGCCUGGCAUAUGGUGAUGCUGGAUCCCAGAGGCUCAGGAGCCUGAGCAGGAGGGUCACAAGUUCCAGGAGAAUGGCCAGUUAGAGGCCAGCUCUCCCAGGUUAGCAAGACCUGAAUUAAAAGGGCUGGGGAUGUAGCUCAGAGGUGGAGUGCCCCUGGGCUAUAUCUUCAGGAAAGAAAAG
rnacentral:lncRNA from 1 species